rfam:Candidatus Buchananbacteria bacterium RIFCSPHIGHO2_01_FTLL_39_8 rifcsphigho2_01_scaffold_43675, whole genome shotgun sequence.
GGCCCUAUCGUCUAACGGUUAGGACACCAGGUUCUCAUCCUGGCAAUUGGGGUUCGAUUCCCCAUGGGGCUA